AUUGAACGCUGGCGGCAGGCCUAACACAUGCACGUCGAGCGGAGCGGCGGACGGGUGAGUAAUGCCUAGGAAUCUGCCUGGUAGUGGGGGAUAACGUCCGGAAACGGGCGCUAAUACCGCAUACUAGCAGAUGAGCCUAGGUCGGAUUAGCUCGUUGGUGGGGUAAAGGCCUACCAGGGCGACGAUCCGUAACUGGUCUGAGAGGAUGAUCAGUCACACUGGAACUGUGACACGGUCCAGACGCCUAUGGGAGGCAGCAGGGGGGAAUAUUGGACAAUGGGCGAAAGCCUGAUCCAGCCAUGCCGCGUGUGUGAAGAAGGUCUUCGGAUUGUAAAGCACUUUAAGUUGGGAGGCGUUACCAACAGAAUAAGCACCGGCUAACUUCGUGCCAGCAGCCGCGGUAAUUC
rnacentral:rRNA from 1 species